rfam:Solenopsis invicta Si_gnG.contig34811, whole genome shotgun sequence.
UAAACGGUUCUUUUUAGAACUACUAAAUUUUUAGACAAAGGAACACU